AAGCAUGAUGGAUGAUUUUGUUGCUCCUUCCUCAGCAGGGCAGCAGUAUGUCCAAACAUGCAAGAAAAACCAAGGAGUUGUCAGGGCUGCCAGUUGUACAGUACAAACUGAGUGGUAGUAUAUGACUCCUACAGUA
ensembl:snoRNA